UUCGGGGUUAGUGGCGGACGGGUGAGUAACACGUGGGAACGUGCCUUUUGGUUCGGAAUAGCUCCUGGAAACGGGUGGUAAUGCCGAAUGUGCCCUUCGGGGGAAAGAUUUAUCGCCAUUAGAGCGGCCCGCGUCUGAUUAGCUAGUUGGUGAGGUAAAGGCUUACCAAGGCUACGAUCAGUAGCUGGUCUGAGAGGAUGACCAGCCACAUUGGGACUGAGACACGGCCCAAACUCCUACGGGAGGCAGCAGUGGGGAAUCUUGCGCAAUGGGCGAAAGCCUGACGCAGCCAUGCCGCGUGAAUGAUGAAGGUCUUAGGAUUGUAAAAUUCUUUCACCGGGGACGAUAAUGACGGUACCCGGAGAAGAAGCCCCGGCUAACUUCGUGCCAGCAGCCGCGGUAAUACGAAGGGGGCUAGCGUUGCUCGGAAUUACUGGGCGUAAAGGGAGCGUAGGCGGACAUUUAAGUCAGGGGUGAAAUCCCAGAGCUCAACUCUGGAACUGCCUUUGAUACUGGAUGUCUUGAGUGUGAGAGAGGUAUGUGGAACUCCGAGUGUAGAGGUGAAAUUCGUAGAUAUUCGGAAGAACACCAGUGGCGAAGGCGACAUACUGGCUCAUUACUGACGCUGAGGCUCG
rnacentral:rRNA from 1 species